AUGGAGCCUGCUGUCGCUGGAGCUUGGACCACCACCAUCUUCUUGUCCUCCACCGCAAACGGAAUCGCGUUCUCCUUGUCGUUGCUGCCGGCGCUCGCCGCCGUCGGCUUCUGCUUGCCGCCGGACUUGCGGUUGGUGACGGUCUCCUUGGCCUGCCUGACGAUCUCGCGCGCGUGCUCCUUGGCGUCCCUCCGCCGGUGCCCCACGGCGUCCCCGUCCCUCCUAUCCUUCUUCUUCUUGGCCGACGUCGGCGACGUGGGCAUGGACAUGUACUGCGCCGCCCGGUCGAGCACGUUCUCCUUGAGCACCUGCAACGACAGCCGCGGGCGGUCCACCACGUCCCACGCGGAGGCCGUCCUGGCUGACGAGGCGGACGCACGCGGCGUGUCCGGGAGCGACCUGGCGUCGCCGGCGCCGACGUUGCAGCUGAGGCUCCGCAGCGGCUGCCGAUUCAUGGACUCCGGGAUGACCCGCUUCUUCUUUUCCUUGACGGCCGCCGCAGCCGCUUUGGGAUUAUUGGUGCCCUUCUUGAGGCCUGGCGACGGCGAGCAGGCGUCGUCGGGGAGGCCGUCGAUGCCCAUGAGGCGCGCGACGAGGCUGGGCGUGCGCGGGGUCCCGGCCUCGGACGGCGGCGCGGUGGCCCUGCUGCCGGUGCUCCGCCUCCCGGCCACCGCCAGCGCGUCGAAGGCCGGCUCGACCUGCACGCCGAUCUGGAUGUCCCGCAGCUGGUCCGCGUCCAGCUCCAGGCUGUUCCUCGGCGCCUCCAGCCCUGCAUUUGCAAAUGGAUCGGAUGUGUCAACCCAAAUGAAACCAGUUUCUACGGACUAG
rnacentral:rRNA from 1 species